ensembl:lncRNA
UAAUAAGUGAAAGUGAAAGUGACGAGACAUACAGCCAAGUAUGGUGACCCAUACUCAGAAACACAUAACUGUAAACACGGUGAAGAUGCUGGUGUUGGUUGUUCAGCUAUGUUAAAUCUUAAGCAUCUUCACACAUUAUUUUGGGGAAAUUACAUAAAGAUUAAUACAUUUCAUAAUUUCUCCACACAUGCAGCUGUUUCUCCUGGAGAAAAUAUCCAGUUCAGUUGCACAACACCUAAACCAAGAUGCAAAGCUAAUGCUGAAUUCCAGCUCUUCAGAAACGGACCAUCUGUAUCCUCACAGACACAUGAAUCUAGUGUGACUUUCAACCUUGUUAAUGUAGACGUCUCACAUCAGGGCAGCUACAGCUGUCGUUACUCCUACCAAAACAACAUCAAGUCACCUUUGAGCAACACUGUAUUCAUCACUGUGGUGAACUUGCAGCAGCCCAAUAUUUUGCACAAUGCUCCUGAUGGAGGGUUUCAUGUGGGGCCUCAGGGGCCAGUGAUCACCAGGGGUCACAGUUUCACUAUCAUCUGUUCAACUCACUCUCAGUUUCCUGGAGGAUCUUUUCACCUGUUCAGAGGAUCAAGCAUCACCAGGACUGAGUCAGCUGUCAGUCACUCUGCUUCCUUCUUCUUUCCUGAGGCAGAUUAUUCACACGAGGGAAACUACAGUUGUGUUUAUGAAGUCAUUGUCUCCUCACGCUCCUUCUGUUCAUCUGCCUCCGAACUGCUGUUCAUCACUAUCACAGCCUCCCUGCUUCCUGUCAUUGGUGCUGCAGUGUCAGCUGUGCUGCUCUUAUUGUCUGCCCUCAUAAUCAUCAUCCUGCUGAAGAGAAGACAAAAGCAAAGGAACAAGGAAACUUUCUUGAAGUUCUCCUUUAGCAAUGGUAACUCUGAAUUUCAUGAAAACAUCAGAUUAUGUCUUAAGUUUUAACAUUUUACCUUCCAGCAACACUGUUAAUUAACAACUUCCUUUAAUAAAUUUGCCCUUCAUCUCUAUGCA